GACGAACGCUGGCGGCGUGCCUAAUACAUGCAAGUAGAACGCUGAAGGAGGAGCUUGCUUCUCUGGAUGAGUUGCGAACGGGUGAGUAACGCGUAGGUAACCUGCCUGGUAGCGGGGGAUAACUAUUGGAAACGAUAGCUAAUACCGCAUAAGAGUAAAUGUCGCAUGACAUUUGCUUAAAAGGUGCAAUUGCAUCACUACCAGAUGGACCUGCGUUGUAUUAGCUAGUUGGUGAGGUAACGGCUCACCAAGGCAACGAUACAUAGCCGACCUGAGAGGGUGAUCGGCCACACUGGGACUGAGACACGGCCCAGACUCCUACGGGAGGCAGCAGUAGGGAAUCUUCGGCAAUAGACGGAAGUCUGACCGAGCAACGCCGCGUGAGUGAAGAAGGUUUUCGGAUCGUAAAGCUCUGUUGUAAGAGAAGAACGAGUGUGAGAGUGGAAAGUUCACACUGUGACGGUAUCUUACCAGAAAGGGACGGCUAACUACGUG
rnacentral:rRNA from 1 species